rnacentral:rRNA from 1 species
AACGAACGCUGGCGGCAGGCCUAACACAUGCAAGUCGAGCGCCCCGCAAGGGGAGCGGCAGACGGGUGAGUAACGCGUGGGAAUCUACCCAUCUCUACGGAAUAACGCAUGGAAACGUGUGCUUAUACCGUAUCCGUCCUUCGGGAGAACGAUUUAUGGGAGAUGUUUGAGCCCGCGUUGGAUUAGCUAGUUGGUGGGGGAAAGGCCACCCAAGGCGACGAUCCAUGGCUGGUCUGAGAGGAUGGUCAGCCACAAUGGGGCUGGGACACGGCCCGGACUCCUACGGGAGGCAGCAAUGGGGAAUAUUGGACAAUGGGCGCAAGCCUGAUCCGGCCAUGCCGCGUGAGUGAUGAAGGCCCUAGGGUUGUAAAGCUCUUUCACCGGUGAAGAUAAUGACGGUAACCGGAGAAGAAGCCCCGGCUAACUUCGUGCCAGCCGCCGCCGUAAGAC